AUUGCCUGCCCAGUGACUAAAGUUAAACGGCCGCGGUAUUCUGACCGUGGAAAGGUAGCAUAAUCACUUGUUCCUUAAUUAGGGACUGUAUGAACGGCUAAACGAGGGUCCAACUGUCUCUUAUUUUUAAUCAGUGAAAUUGACCUUCCAGUGAAGAGGCUGGGAUAAUUUAAUAAGACGAGAAGACCCUAUGGAGCUUGAAUUAACAAACUUACUUGAAAUUCCACCACACCUAAUGGCACAAAAAUAAUACCCUAAAUUUAAAAUUUUGGUUGGGGUGACCUCGGAGAAUAAAAAAUCCUCCGAAAGAAUUAUAACUUAGACCAACAAGUCAAUGUAACCUUGAUUCCAAUUGACCCAAGAUAUUUGACCAACGGACCAAGUUACCCUAGGGAUAACAGCGCAAUCCUAUUUAAGAGUCCAUAUCGACAAUAGGGUUUACGACCUCGAUGUUGGAUCAGGACAUCCAAAUGGUGCAGAAACUAUUAAUGGUUCGUUUG
rnacentral:rRNA from 1 species